UACAGAGGUGGCAAGCGUUGUUCGGAAUUACUGGGCGUAAAGGGCGCGUAGGCGGCACGGCAAGUCAGGAGUGAAAGCCCUGGGCUCAACCCAGAAACUGCUUUCGAAACUGCCGAGCUAGAGUGCGGAAGGGGCAACUGGAAUUCCCAGUGUAGCGGUGAAAUGCGUAGAUAUUGGGAAGAACACCUGAGGCGAAGGCGGGUUGCUGGGCCGACACCGACGCUGAGUGCGCGAAAGCCAGGGGAGCGAACGGG
rnacentral:rRNA from 1 species